UCAUGUCCAAGAGUUGAUCACCCGGUCCUGAGCCACUUCCUUACAGGACUAGAAUUCUGACGGUGAGUUCUUGCGUACAUCAUUCUGUUAGAGUAUGCUUCACACCUGAUAAACCAAGAAUUUUACCAGAAACAAGAAUACUCCAUGGCGGAAAUAAAUUUUGUGGCUGUAAACCAACUACAAGACGAAAGCACCGAUAAAAACUUUUUCGACGCUGAUUUUUUCACCAUUCAAAAUAUUAACGAUUCCUACUCCCACGAUAUGUUCUUCAUCUGCCUCCCUGAUGUCCUUCAUUACAUCAGAAAAUGACACGAGAGAAAAAGAUUUAUAUCAGGAACCGUAUAUAAAAUGCAAUUUAAACCAGUUUUUACCUAGAAGUUCCUGCGCUUGAACAAAUCUUAUAGCAGGAAGAACAAAUACAGCAGACAAGGAGGGGCUACAUGCACAGCUCUUGCUUUCGUACUGAAACUGCCUACCUA